CUGUUUGCUGAUGUUGCAAGGCAUCUUUCUUCCUCACUUUGUUCAGGCUGAGGAAUGAACCUUUCUGAGUGCUGCGUAUUCCCUGGAAGACGCUUUGUGCCCACGAUGUGUUGUACAGUGAGCAGGCAGCCUGCACGUGAAGCUGAGCAUCACUCUCCUGCCCCAUGCACAGAAUGUUGCAGAUGCCAACACCAAUGGGACGCAAAAUUCUGCCCACAGCACUCCCAUGUGUGCUGAUGAGACAAGAACUGACCAGGAAAGGUCUCAACCAGCUGGUAAAGUGUAUUCCUUCUGCUCCCGUCUACCAACAGCUGUGCUCCUGAGGUCCCCUUUUUUAGAAGCAAGUGAAGAGACCUCAGUAAGAACAGCAGUGUGAUAACAGUUGUGGGGUGAGCUGGGUUUUUCCUAUCAAACCAAAGUCUCUCUCUAACAAUGACAGAACCCCACAGGUCUUCUGGUGGGGAGCACAGCAUCCAAAAUCAUUGCAGGGGUAAAUGAAGACAGCUAAUGCUGUUUGCUGGUUUCAGCUUGAUGUAACCAAUUGCACUGGUCAAGUUAAGCUGCAUGACAGUGUGAAAUACUUAAAUAGCCAUUGUAGUGUUUCUGAGAGGACAGCUGGCUGCAGGUGCUCUGCAAGAUCACAGUGCAGCGUCAUGCUUUCAGAGCUCGCACAAUGGGCAGAGGCUCAGCAAUUUGGGUGGCAUGGAUGACACAGGUUCAGCAUGGCCAACCCCCCGCAGAGCUGCUUUCUGACUGCAGGGGAAGUCAUCUCCCGUGUCGCUUUUGAUUCAGGAGCUGUAUUUGGCCUCUGCGUGGGAGCAGAGCUAAAGGAGGAGCGCGGCAUUGCCUGCAGCGUUCGGCCUUCAGCAGAGCCCCGCGCCAGGCAACUCCUGCACAUCUGUGCUGACAGGGCCGUGACAGGAGGUCCCCAAACCAGCAGCCAUGCUUUCAUGCCUGCGCAGAAAGGAGAUGCACAGCAAGGCAGGCAGGAAGGCUGCACGAGGCAGUGCUGCUGUGCCUCCUGCCUGCACCGUGUCAGCCGGGCUGCGCUGUUCGCCCAUCUUUGCGGGAGCACAUCUGUGCAAUGGAAACCUGCGGGGUUUGCUGCACUCCUACUGACAGUUCAUAUUUUAAUCCUUUUUGUUUUCUCUUUAGGAAACAAUUCUCUGACCUUUUUUGUGUGAAGUGCAAUGGUGAUAGCACUGUGCAGCGAGGAGUUCUGAAUGAUGGAAAUGCAGAGAUGUCUGCUGAGGUUUGCAUACUGCUGCCGCCACGCAGAGGAGAUCUCAUACUGAAAGUGUGAUCACAGCUGAACCCCCAUAUGGAUUAUUUCAAUGGAAAGUCAAGAAAACAGCUAUUGAUUUCUCUUUCAUGAAUAUAAAGCAGAGAUCUUGUGUAAGAGAAGACAACGUUAAAAUAACCAAGCACCAAAAGGGGCUAAGGGAAAAGCCUGAGGUUAGAGCAGAAAGAAAUGCUUGUAUUCAAAGUUUAUAACCGUUUCGAAAUAAUAAAAACUGUGGUUAAACUAUUUACUUCAAUUAGCUUCAUGGUCAGGAAAACCACCAUCACUUAGAUCCCACUUAUAAAAAUGUGUUCUACACCAUUCUGAAAUCCCAGAAGACAAUAAAAAACUGUGGGCUUUCUGAUGUUUGAGUGUGCUGGGAUUAGGUGCAAGUUGCUGGGCGUUCCUAGAAACACUAUUUCAGAACAUUUGAACACUCCAACUUUUGGAUCGGUCCGUGCAGUUGGGCUACGUGUGCGAUAGGGGUGCCUGGCUGUGAUGAGAUGGACUUGUGAUGCUGCUGCCUUCCCUGAGCUUCACCUCCUCCAGCUGAGCAUUGUGGCCCCGGCGAAGUCAACCAAGAGUUUGCCGUAGACUUAAUGGAGCCAAAAUUCCAUCCCAGGAGAGGAACAACUGAAGUAGAGUGCCACGGGCUGGUGGCCUGUAGCAAUCUCAGGUGAUGCAGGAGCGAAAAUGUCCUUGUCAGGUAACUGAUGUCCUCAGCCCAAGGUUCCCCGAUUUCACUCUGGAUUUUCUGCUGCGUUUCUGUUCAUUGUUGUUGCAGCUCUGUGGAUAACGUGUUAAGGGGUUGUUCUUAAGAAAGAAAGAUUUAACUUUUUUAAAGGGACGGGUGAUUUGUAGAAGACGUUUGUGUAAUUUUGUAUUCUAAAUGUGAUUUAUUUUUAUAAAUAAAUUUGCAUAAAAUCUCC
ensembl:lncRNA